GACGAACGCUGGCGGCGUGCUUAACACAUGCAAGUCGAACGGAAAGGCCCUGCCUUGGUGGGGUGCUCGAGUGGCGAACGGGUGAGUAACACGUGAGUAACCUGCCCGUGACUUUGGGAUAACUUCAGGAAACUGGGGCUAAUACCGGAUAGGAGCUCCUGCUGCAUGGCGGUGGUUGGAAAGUUUCGGUUGCUGGGGUUGGACUCGCGGCUUCUCAGCUUGUUGGUGGGGUAGUGGCUUACCAAGGCUUUGACGGGUAGCCGGCCUGGGAGGGUGACCGGCCACAUUGGGACUGGGAUACGGCCCAGACUCCUACGGGGGGCAGCGGUGGGGAAUAUUGCACAAUGGGCGGAAGCCUGAUGGAGCGUCGCCGCGUGCGGGAUGACGGCUUUCGGGUUGUAAACCGCUUUCGCCUGUGACGAAGAGUGUGUGACGGUAAUGGGUAAAGAAGCACCGGCUAACUACGUG
rnacentral:rRNA from 1 species